rnacentral:ncRNA from 1 species
UAAGAAGAGGCGCAGCUAACAAGAGUAGCUAAUCUGAGCUGAUAAAGCAGUGAUGAAGAUUAGUGAAAGGGAAAGACUGCCGAAACAAGCAAUCACUUUAUGGAUUGUGCGUUGGGCUCUAGUUUAAUAGACUAGGGACUGUCGUGAUAAUUUAUCACGGAGUGCUUUUA